GUGGGUGAUCUACCUUUUAGUGGGGAAUAACCAGGGGAAACUCUGGCUAAUACCGCAUAAGCCUGAGAAGGGAAAGCAGCAAUGCGCUGAAAGAGGAGCCCGCGGCCGAUUAGCUAGUUGGUGGGGUAAGAGCCCACCAAGGCAGAGAUCGGUAGCCGGCCUGAGAGGGCACACGGCCACACUGGCACUGAAACACGGGCCAGACUCCUACGGGAGGCAGCAGUGGGGAAUCUUGCACAAUGGGGGAAACCCUGAUGCAGCGACGCCGCGUGAGCGAUGAAGCCCUUCGGGGUGUAAAGCUCUUUCGUCAGGGACGAUAAUGACGGUACCUGGAGAAGCAGCUGCGGCUAACUACGUGCCAGCAGCCGCGGUAAUACGUAGGCAGCAAGCGUUGUUCGGAGUUACUGGGCGUAAAGGGUGUGUAGGCGGUUCUUUAAGUUUGGUGUGAAAUCUCCCGGCUCAACUGGGAGGGUGCGCCGAAUACUGAGGGACUAGAGUACGGGAGAGGAAAGUGGAAUU
rnacentral:rRNA from 1 species